UGAAUACGAGAUGCUACGGCGUCGAAGCAGUCUAUGUCAUACUUCCAAGAAAAGCUUGCACUGUCAUAAACAAAUAAUGCCUGUACCAUAACCGACACAGGUGGGUAGGUAGAGUAUACUAAGGGGCGCGAGAUAACUCUCUCUAAGGAACUCGGCAAAAUGACUCCGUAACUUCGGGAGAAGGAGUGCCUUAUUUAUAAGGUUGCAAUAACAAGAUCCAAGCAACUGUUUACCAAAAACACAGGUCUCCGCUAAGUCGUAAGACGAUGUAUGGGGGCUGACGCCUGCCCAGUGCCAGAAGGUUAAAGAAGUUGGUUAGCAUCCGCGAAGCUGAUAACUGAAGCCCUGGUGAACGGCGGCCGUAACUAUAACGGUCCUAAGGUAGCGAAAUUCCUUGUCGGGUAAGUUCCGACCCGCACGAAAGGCGUAAUGAUUUGGAUACUGUCUCGGAGAGGGGCUCGGUGAAAUAGACUUGUCUGUGAAGAUGCGGACUACCUGCACCAGGACAGAAAGACCCUAUGAAGCUUUACUGUAACCUGAAAUUGAAAUUGGACUUUACUUGCGCAGUAUAGGUGGGAGGCGUUGAGAAUAUUCUUGCGGGAUUAUUGGAGCCAUCAGUGAGAUACCACUCUUGUAAUGUUAGAUUUCUAACUUUGUAUCAUUAUCUGGUCAAAGAACAGUUUCAGGCGGGCAGUUUGACUGGGGCGGUCGCCUCCUAAACGGUAACGGAGGCGCACAAAGGUUUCCUCUGAACGGGUAGAAAUCGUAUCUAGAGUGUAAAGGCAUAAGGAAGCUUGACUGUGAGACCUACAAGUCGAGCAGGGACGAAAGUCGGUCUUAGUGAUCUGACGGUGCUGAGUGGAAAGGCCGUCACUCAACGGAUAAAAGUUACUCUAAGGAUAACAGGCUGAUCUCCCCCAAGAGUUCACAUCGACGGGGAGGUUUGGCACCUCGAUGUCGGCUCAUCGCAUCCUGGGGCGGUAGUACGUCCCAAGGGUUGGGCUGUUCGCCCAUGAAAGCGGUACGCGAGCUGGGUUCAGAACGUCGUGAGACAGUUCGGUCCAUAUCCGGUGUAGGCGUUAGAAUAUUGAGAGGAGCCUUCUUUAGUACGAGAGGACCGAGAAGGACAUACCUCUGGUGUACCAGUUAUCGUGCCAACGGUAAACGCUGGGUAGCUAUGUGUGGAGUGGAUAACCGCUGAAAGCAUCUAAGUGGGAAGCCCACCUCAAGAUAAGUGUUCUCC
rnacentral:rRNA from 1 species